GUUCUAAAAUUUUCUCUGAAGGUAACUUCAAAACCCUAGUUCCUAUGACUUCGGCCUAAAUGGACUCUUCACUAGCAUCGAAUAGCUCGAAGUCACCUUUAUUUAGAUUCCUUACUUUUUAUAGAUCCUGCAAUGAUUUACAAAGGUGUGAGCCACAGGCAGUAUCUAAUACCCAAGAAUCUAACAUUGAAGUACUUAAUGAUAAAUUAGUUUGUAUCAUAUACAAACCUUUAGCAAUAUUUACUGAUUUCACGGUUGCAAGGUACUCCUUGCAAUUUCUCUUCCAUGGCAAAAUCCAACUGUCCC
rnacentral:lncRNA from 1 species